AUAAUGAUUUUUUAAUUCAAGUAUGUCAUGUGUUUUGACCACAUUCAUCCUCCUACCACCAUUCUCUCCCUCCACUUUACCCCUUCCUCUUCCCAAAUAUCCCUAUUCUACUUUCAUGUCAUACAGAUGUGUUAUUCAUGUGUCUACCUUCUUCCUGGGUUGUAAUUCUCACUGGACUUUCUGGGUUUUAUCAACUGUUUUAUGACUUGAGGGGGCAGUGCUUAGAGGAUUGAUUGAUAGGCCUCACCCACACUACCUUUGGGGCCUGGGAAGUUCCCUUUAUCAUCCUGUUUUUACUUUCUGAGUAAUGGAUCCAUUCUGAUCUCAUUCUCUUUCCGUGACGUGGCUUAGAGCCCCAGCAUGGCAGCCAGACCGAGUCCUGGACAUGUGACCUCACCUUGGGAGAUUCCAGUGUUGGUAGUAAUAUGGCUUAAGACACUGUUGGUGUCUGAUGUGUGAGGCUCUUGGCAUCCAUGGUGUCUUGCCCUUAGUAAGUGCUCAGGAAACAUGAGCUGUUGCUGUCAUUUGCACAGAUGUUGGUUUCUCUUACUCCUGGUUGCCUGGCUACACAGAAAUUAAGUGAGCCGACCCUAUCUCACUCUGUGGCUCCUUCUUGGCCUAGAAUUUCUUCGAGAUGGACCUAGGAAAGUAAGAUCAAUGGCUAGGUCUUGGAGGACUGGACAAGCUGAGACCCCUAAAGAUGAAAGAUCCCUGUCCUGGGACACCUAGAGCUGGAAGAUGAGGGUCACAAGGAGACUGAGUCCAAACUCUGACCUCAGAUGGCUUUGAACACAGGGUGCUAUGAACUGUUGCUAUCAGAAUUUGAAAUUUGUCAACAAGGGAGUGUGUGUGUGUGUGUGUGUGUGUGUGUGUGUGUGUGUGUGUGUGUGUGUGUUUUGCAUGUAUGUGUUUGUGAGGCUGUAUGGGAUUAUGUUUGCCUAUGUGUACAUAUUUGGAGGCUAGAGCUUGACACCGGAUGUCUUCCUCAACCACUCUCUGCCUUAAUUUUUUGCACUAGGAUUGCUGAAAGAAUUUGGAGCUUGUCAGUUUGGUUAGACUGGCUGGCUGGCCACUGAGCUCCAUGGAUCUGCCCACAGUCCCUACCCCAGCACUAGGACUACAGGCACAUGCCACCAUGCACAGCUUUAUGUGGGUACUAGGGAUCCGGAUGCAAGUCUGAUGAUCACCCUUGUACAACAGUCAUUUGGCUCACUGAUUCAUCUCUCCAGUCCCAGCAAGUGACUUCUUAGGGAGGUCCUGCCCCUGCUAGCUCCUCCCAGUCCCCUCUGUGAACACCCAGCCCCCUGCCAAUCUCCACCUAUCCUCCUUUGAUCCAGGGAGGAUGUUUUCUGUCUUGAGACUCCUUUCUGCCCUAGUUCCAUGUGCAGAUCUCCUGAGGACUCAGAGGAGAGCUGGAGAGAUCAGGUAUCACCAGGAUUGAUGACUGAGCCAUGAGACUGCCACUGUCACCUGGCAAGUUGGCUUGGGCUUCUGGUUUCUUGGGCCUUUCUACAGCCAUGAAGUAGCUAUAGGCCAGAGCAGCAUCUCAGGCUUUGAUGGGGAUUAGACAAGAGGACAACAGCUGGCCUGCUAGACUGACACCCACCUCAGCUUGCCCACCCUGUGGUGUGUCCCAAGGAGCCUCACACCAACACCAAAGAAGGUGUUAGAGACCAAAAAAGGAGGCAGCCAUUUUCAUCAUGGUGCCUGUGACCUUUGGUCUUCAUAGAAUUGAUGAAGCUCAGCUCCAUGUGCAUGUGGGGCAUUCCAGUGAGGACUGACAUGAGAUGGCAAUGACAUCCACAUCUUCAAAUGGGCUGGAAGCAGGGACCAAAAAGAGUCAGAGGAAAACAGCUUAUGUGCAUGUACAGCUUUCUUUCUUGAAUUGAUGUGGCUGCCGCCAUUAGACUCCGGCUCUUUCAUCCUUUCAACUUGGACUCAACACCACUGACUCUCCAGGGAGAUUCCAGGUUUUCAGUGCCAGACAAGGAUUGCCAAGACAUCCAGUUUCUUUGACUGGAGAGCUACCAGGUUCUCAGUCCCUUGGGCAUGCACAUAGCCAUUUUUGGGUUACUAGCCCUUAUCCUGUAAACCAAGCCAAUAAACUGUAUUUUACAAGAUGCA